UCCAAAAUCUUUCAAGGCAUGCAUGAUCCAUCUCACUGCACAGCUCUAGCACUUUCGCUGUUUAAUUUUACAGCUGUUAAAAGCCAUUUUUUUUCUUCUUCUCUCUCUCCAGCACUUUUCUUUCUCUAGCACUUCAGCUGUUUAAUUUUACAGCUGUUAAAAGCCAAUUUUUUCUUUUUAUUCCUUCAAGCAGAUGAAGCACAGGACUGCACAUUCUCCAAAUCUGUCUGACUACAUGGAAGUCCCUCACUGUCAAACCCACAGAAAACAGAAUGACCUGGGAGAGAUGUCUGCCAAGUCAAUCGGUCUUGAUUAGCAGAUCAUUAAUAUUACUCUGUCCAGGACAUUUUUCUCAAGGUGAGAGGACUUGAAACAGCCAGUAAAUGCUGCGUGAAAGUUAGAAUAUUCAGCCUGAGGAACAGGAGCAGCUAAAAACCGGGAAGAGGGCGGCGAGCUCCCUACCUACGCAAGGCAGAGCAGACGACAGCCGCAGGAAAGGAAGAUCCACUACCAGAAAUGCUUCCUAGAGACCAAGAAAGAAAAGUCACUGGAAAAAGGUCACAGCAUCCCAGAGUAUCACAGGUAGCACUGAGGACUCUAAGGCAGCGAUGAACAAGAACUGAUUCAGAGCCUACGUGAUGCUGAAUUUUCCUUAUGGAACAGCAAAGGAAAAAAGAGCUCUGAGACAAAAGGGAAUUCAAUGGUGUUUACAAGAUUAAGAAGAACAACUCCUGAAGUUCUCACAUCAGUCAGAGGCUUUCAGUGAAAUUAGUCAUUUCAUCCACAGGGAUCUAAGGCAGCUUAGAUCCCCCCACACUUCUUAUUCAUAAGCUGGCUCAUUUGGAGUUUCUCAGCUUUUAAAAGAGGCAGGGGAGAUUGGAGGAGUUUAAUCUCAGCUCUGAGAAACUGCUGCUUCACCUGAGGCCUUGGCUAUCAUAAUAAUGUCAGAAUUGCAUGCCACUAAAUAUGCUUCUUCACACAUGGAAAAAACACACUUUUUCUUCCUCCCUAAUUCUUUAGAUUCUCUCAACAGAAAACAUAUAUAAGCUGAAGCAAA